rnacentral:snoRNA from 1 species
CCCAUUGAUAAUGAGGAUCUCAUAUUAAAAAUCUUAGGUGGCCUUGAUGAAGAUUACAAAGACCUCUGCUCAGCCAUCCGUGUCCGUGACAACCCUAUUACGUUUGAUGAACUGCAUGAGAAACUCAUCAAUUUUGAAG